GAUGAACGCUGGCGGCGUGCUUAACACAUGCAAGUCGAGCGGAAAGGCCCUUUCGGGGGUACUCGAGCGGCGAACGGGUGAGUAACACGUGAGUAAUCUGCCCUGGACUCUGGGAUAGCCACCGGAAACGGUGAUUAAUACCGGAUAUGACACCUUGCUGCAUGGUGGGGUGUGGAAAGUUUUUUCGGUCCAGGAUGUGCUCGCGGCCUAUCAGCUUGUUGGUGAGGUAAUGGCUCACCAAGGCUUUGACGGGUAGCCGGCCUGAGAGGGUGACCGGUCACACUGGGACUGAGACACGGCCCGGACUCCUACGGGAGGCAGCAGUGGGGAAUAUUGGACAAUGGGCGGAAGCCUGAUCCAGCAACGCCGCGUGAGGGAUGACGGCCUUCGGGUUGUAAACCUCUUUCGGUACCGACGAAGCGUGAGUGACGGUAGGUACAGAAGAAGGACCGGCCAACUACGUGCCAGCAGCCGCCGUAACAC
rnacentral:rRNA from 1 species